GAAGGGUGCAAGCGUUACUCGGAAUUACUGGGCGUAAAGCGUGCGUAGGUGGUUUGUUAAGUCUGAUGUGAAAGCCCUGGGCUCAACCUGGGAAUUGCAUUGGAUACUGGCAGGCUAGAGUGCGGUAGAGGAUGGCGGAAUUCCCGGUGUAGCAGUGAAAUGCGUAGAGAUCGGGAGGAACAUCUGUGGCGAAGGCGGCCAUCUGGACCAGCACUGACACUGAGGCACGAAAGCGUGGGGAGCAAACAGGAUUAGAUACCCUGGUAGUCCACGCCCUAAACGAUGCGAACUGGAUGUUGGGAGCAACUAGGCUCUCAGUAUCGAAGCUAACGCGUUAAGUUCGCCGCCUGGGGAGUACGGUCGCAAGACUG
rnacentral:rRNA from 1 species